UACGGGGGGAGCAAGCGUUGUUCGGAUUUACUGGGCGUAAAGGGCGCGUAGGCGGCCAGCACAAGUCAGUUGUGAAAUCUCCGAGCUUAACUCGGAACGGUCAACUGAUACUGUGCGGCUAGAGUGCAGAAGGGGCAACUGGAAUUCUUGGUGUAGCGGUGAAAUGCGCAGAUAUCGGGAGGAACACCGGUGGCGAAGGCGGUUCUCUGGGCCUUACCUGACGCUGAGGAGCGAAAGCGUGGGGAGCGAACAGG
rnacentral:rRNA from 1 species